UACGUAGGGUGCAAGCGUUAAUCGGAAUUACUGGGCGUAAAGCGUGCGCAGGCGGUUCUAUAAGACAGAUGUGAAAUCCCCGGGCUCAACCUGGGAACUGCAUUUGUGACUGUAGAGCUGGAGGUACGGCAGAGGGGGAUGGAAUUCCGCGUGUAGCAGUGAAAUGCGUAGAUAUGCGGAGGAACACCGAUGGCGAAGGCAAUCCCCUGGGCCUGUACUGACGCUCAUGCACGAAAGCGUGGGGAGCAAACAGG
rnacentral:rRNA from 1 species